GUUGGAAGUUUUGAUAAAGGCAUUUUUUCCUUUUUUUCCUUUCACCUUGCCUUCCUUCACACCCUUCAGCUGUUGUUUUUCUUCUUUGUUGGAAACUAUGAGUUCAAAUGAAUGGCGGUGAUUCAAUCUUGGGACCACGACCAGGAGGAUCAGGUGGAUAUUCAGCAUUAUGUUGGAAGGGGGUCCAGCUCAGAGUAUUGCAGCACAUGAAACUUUAGCUCGACUCUACUUUUUAGCAGAUCUCGUUUUGGAAUUCCUUCUUAGAAUUUUGACCAAGUGUUGCAGCAUAUGCAAGCUUUAGAUGGAUCUGUUUAGUAGUGGAUAUCUUUUUAAAAUUUCUUCUUGUAAAUUUUUGCUAUUUGUUGUAUAUCACAUGUAAGAUUAGCUCGG
rnacentral:lncRNA from 1 species